rnacentral:tRNA from 1 species
AGUAAAGUCAGCUAAAUAAGCUAUCGGGCCCAUACCCCGAAAAUGCCUCACGGCCUUUACUA